rnacentral:rRNA from 1 species
GACGAACGCUGGCGGCGUGCCUAAUACAUGCAAGUAGAACGCUGAAGAGAGGAGCUUGCUCUUCUUGGAUGAGUUGCGAACGGGUGAGUAACGCGUAGGUAACCUGCCUGGUAGCGGGGGAUAACUAUUGGAAACGAUAGCUAAUACCGCAUAAAAUGGAUUAUCGCAUGAUAAUCCAUUGAAAGGUGCAAAUGCAUCACUACCAGAUGGACCUGCGUUGUAUUAGCUAGUUGGUGGGGUAACGGCUCACCAAGGCGACGAUACAUAGCCGACCUGAGAGGGUGAUCGGCCAAACUGGGACUGAGACACGGCCCAGACUCCUACGGGAGGCAGCAGUAGGGAAUCUUCGGCAAUGGACGGAAGUCUGACCGAGCAACGCCGCGUGAGUGAAGAAGGUUUUCGGAUCGUAAAGCUCUGUUGUAAGAGAAGAACGAGUGUGAGAGUGGAAAGUUCACACUGUGACGGUAUCUUACCAGAAAGGGACGGCUAACUACGUG